GACGAACGCUGGCGGCGUGCUUAACACAUGCAAGUCGAACGGAAAGGCCCUGCUUUUGUGGGGUGCUCGAGUGGCGAACGGGUGAGUAACACGUGAGUAACCUGCCCUUGACUUUGGGAUAACUUCAGGAAACUGGGGCUAAUACCGGAUAGGAGCUCCUGCUGCAUGGUGGGGGUUGGAACGUUUCGGCGGUUGGGGAUGGACUCGCGGCUUAUCAGCUUGUUGGUGGGGUAGUGGCUUACCAAGGCUUUGACGGGUAGCCGGCCUGAGAGGGUGACCGGCCACAUGGGGACUGAGAUACGGCCCAGACUCCAACGGGAGGCAGCAGUGGGGAAUAUUGCACAAUGGGCGGAAGCCUGAGGCAGCAACGCCGCGGGCGGGAUGACGGCCUUCGGGUUGUAAACCGCUGUCGCCUGUGACGAAGCGUGAGUGACGGUAAUGGGUAAAGAAGCACCGGCUAACUACGUG
rnacentral:rRNA from 1 species